UAGAGUGAUUAGAGCAAAGCUCCAGCAGGCAAG
rnacentral:piRNA from 1 species